AUUGAACGCUGGCGGCAGGCCUAACACAUGCAAGUCGAACGAGUGGCGGACGGGUGGGUAAUGUCUGGGAAACUGCCUGAUGGAGGGGGAUAACUACUGGAAACGGUAGCUAAUACCGCAUAACAUCAGAUGUGCCCAGAGGGGAUUAGCUUGUUGGUGGGGUAACGGCUCACCAAGGCGACGAUCCCUAGCUGGUCUGAGAGGCUGACGAGCGACACUGGAACUGAGACACGGCCCAGACUCCUACGGGAGGCAGCAGGGGGGAAUAUUGGACAAUGGGCGAAAGCCUGAUGCAGCCAUGCCGCGUGUAUGAAGAAGGCUUUCGGGUUGUAAAGUACUUUCGGCGGGGAGGCGGUAUCCGCAGAAGAAGCAACGGCUAACUCCGUGCCAGCAGCCGCGGUAAUAC
rnacentral:rRNA from 1 species